rnacentral:lncRNA from 10 species
UGGGAAUGCUAUAAACGUGGGUGGGGAAGACUUCAGAGGAGGAAGUUUUAUGGGGGAGAGCAGGAGCUCAGUUUGGGGCAUGUCAAGAAUGAGAUGCCUUAUUAAACAUUCGAGCCAAGACACUGAACAGAGCUGAGUCUGGAGUUCACAGAGAGCCAAGCUGGGGACAUGGAUUUGCAAUCAAUCAGUGCACAGAUGGCAUCAGUUCCACGGGACUGAGAGUUCACCAGCGUAGCGAGAACAGCCAAAACCAAACCAAACCAAAACGUUCUCCACAGGUCCCAGGAGUGAGCCAGAGACUUUAAGCUGAAAGGUCAGCCAUCCAAGGAGGGAUCAGGAAGGGGAAGAGGAGGAACAGCAACGAGGGAGGGAGGACCGCCGGAAGGAGCAGCCUCCAGGGAGCCACUGUCAAUGGACAAGAGGCGGCAUGUGACAUGGGAUGAUUUGCCACCCCUGAAUCAGUCCAACUCUUCCAUUCUCAGAGGAGGGCACUGAGGCGGGGGGGGCCUGGCCAGCCCAAGCCCUGUCUGCUGCUCGGCUGAGCAAGAGGGACAUGAACGCAGCUCUUCGUCCUCUGCCCUGUGCUUGCAUUCUCUUGAGCUUUCUCUCUGGUGAACAGUCUCAGACUGCAAAGCAAGUCAGCACUACCACAGAGGGAAUCCCAAACUCGCUGCUGAGAACAGAACAGCUGUGCCCUCGCCGACUGGGACCCGAGUGACAUCUACUGGAGCAAGCAGGGGCUGCACGUGAGCAGGCAGCCAUUCGGUCACUCCCCGUCAUUCCAACACAAUCGAAUUUGUGUAGAAAAUUUACAUGCAUCAUAGGCUAUUUAUGAAUAUAUGCACACGUAGAAAGAGGAAAAAUACGCUUGGAAAUGGUAAACAUAACUUCAAGAUAGUAGUUACCCUUGGGUUCGGUAGGGGUGAAGGAGUGGUAAGGGUUUUAGUUUUAUCUUUAACCAUUUCUUUUUUCACUUACUUAUUUGUAGAGAUGGGAGUCUCACUAUGUUGCCCAGGGUAGUCCUGGUCUCAAGCAAUCCUCCCACCUUGGCUUCCCAAAAUGCUGGGAUUACAGGCGUGAGACACCAUGCCUGGCCACAAUUUGGUUUCUCUUUCAAAAGAUCCGAUACCAGUGUGCCAAAGUAUUGACAUCUAUUAAAUCUUUCAGGUGGUCCUACUGAGGUCUGUUUUUCUGUGCUUAUCUCUAAGUUUAAAAUCGUUCAUAAUAAACAUAUAGUUUAUAUUAAUAGUAAUAAUAUACAGUAUAUAUUAUACUAUAUAUUUAUUAUAUAGUAUAUACUUUAUAUUCAUUAUAUAUUGUAUACUUACAUUUAUGGAAGGAAAAUAAAAAACAAAAAUGGAAAAUUUGUGGUCCAGAUUCUUGGUCCCAAUGGUAGCAGGGCAGUUUAAUAGCAAAAGUUCUUAAUACUUGUUGGCUGCUGUUACCAUCAUUAAUAAGUAUCCUGGAGUUUACUGGAGUAACUGAACAGCAGUCGAAGCUCAUGUAUAGGCUAGAGGAGAAUCACGCUCUUCAACAGUAGUGACAAGAUGAAGAUACACUGAGAAGACUCAUUUAUUUGCUAUUAUUGAAAAAUUGUUCAUACCCCAUAGGAAGAUGUGGCAUAGAACAUCAGAAUGUUCUUAGAAUUGGGAAACUCUCAGGUAGGAGGCUGAAAGAGAAAGCCAAAAUGACUAUUUUAUUUCCAGAUUAAAG